rnacentral:lncRNA from 1 species
AAAAUCAAAUAAAUCAAUUUUUUAAUUUCUUUAACUUUUCAAAUAGUCAUCUUCUUCAUAUUUGGUCACAAAUUGAGCACUAGAUUCAUACCCAUCAGAUCAAAUUCUUCUUGAUUUAACUUGUAAAUUCAACUACAAGUUCACCAACACAAACUCAAUGAACCCCAAUCAAAAAAUUUAAGUAAUUUUACAAAUUCACAAGACCCAUUUAUUAUUUUUUAAGCUUUUUCAAACUUAUCAAUGGAGUUUUAAAAUUUUCAAUAGUCACAAUCAUCCUUCACAUUAUCUGCAUCUCCUCGUUGAAACCAUCUAAUAAAAGAAUGAUACUAAUAUUUUUCAAACCUAAAAAACGAAAAUUUUAGAAGAAGUUGAGGCUACUGAUUUGUAUAAAAAAAAA